rnacentral:lncRNA from 1 species
GUCGACGCUGCUCUGGAGUAUGAAAAUCGUCACCAUCGUCAUCCCGCUCGUCAGUUCGCUCGUCACCCUGUUGAUAUAAUAUAAUGCAACUCAUUAGUCCAUAUAUAUGAUUCAGUUAAAGAUAACUAAAUGAAAAUUAAAUUACAUGCAGAAUAUAUAUUUGAAUUUAAAACGAAUAGUAUACCUGAGCAGUCGAGGGCUGACUCAACAUCGGCCCAAACGCGUCCUCGACUAAGGUAACCACCAUCCGAACAAUCUCGUCGCGUAUCGCGGCCCACUGCUCCGGAGGGAUACCCGUACUCUCGGCGGUGGCACCAGCUGCAACGUCCUGCGCAAGCUGAUGGAGGCGAGAACGGCUGGGAAGGUCCUGACGAUGGAACAGCGGAUCGGUCUCAAACCUCUCCGACACCGCAGCCAUAACACGCUGGAACAAAACAUCGUCUAAGCCAGCGCCCGUAUGUGAUGGUCCCACAGGGGCUCUCGAACGCAAACGCUGGCUAGAGCCUAUAAAAAUAAAUAUAACAUGAAUAAUAUGGCAAAUUUUCUUUAUUCAUAAACAAGAAAUAAACUAAAAAUAUUAUACCUCCUGGCAGUGUAUAGGCUGGUAUCCUCGGUAACCCCAGCACUCGAU